GGUGCGUUAGGCGAAUUGGUAGAGCCGCUACCCUUUCAAGGUAGAGUUUUUUGGGAGUUCAAGCCUCCCACGCAUCACCA
rnacentral:tRNA from 1 species